rnacentral:rRNA from 1 species
UACAGAGGGUGCAAGCGUUGCUCGGAAUCAUUGGGCGUAAAGGGCAAGUAGGUGGUCUCAUUUGUCUAGGGUGAAAUCCUUGAGCUUAACUCAAGAAGUGCCCUAGAAACGGUGGGACUAGAGUUCUGGAGAGGGUCGUGGAAUUCCGGUGUAGCGGUGAAAUGCGUAGAGAUCGGGAGGAACACCAGAGGCGAAGGCGGCGACCUGGACAGAUACUGACACUCAACUGCGAAAGCGUGGGGAGCAAACAGG